rnacentral:lncRNA from 1 species
UCAAUUCUGGAACAUAAAUGGUAUUGCAUCCAGGUUAGUCUCUCUUGGAUAUAAAUAAUGCUGAUAAUUAUGAUAAUUCUUCUGUUUGAUGCACGAGUUUUGUUCUGUUCAACAGGCCAACGAUAUGCGAACAACAUAUCAUAUAUAAUGUUGGUUAUUUUUUUGUUUCCACUUUCUUUUCUGUAAUUAGAUUAACAAGCAAAAAAUAAGUGUAAGAGUCUCUUUUCAAAUGAGGAGGUGGUUACUUCUUAACAAAUCAUCG